UACAGAGGGGGCAAGCGUUGUUCGGAAUUACUGGGCGUAAAGGGCGCGUAGGCGGCCUGCUAAGUCGAACGUGAAAUCCCCGGGCUCAACCCGGGAACUGCGUCCGAUACUGGCAGGCUUGAAUUCGGGAGAGGGAUGUGGAAUUCCAGGUGUAGCGGUGAAAUGCGUAGAUAUCUGGAGGAACACCGGUGGCGAAGGCGGGUCUCUGGGCAGUAACUGACGCUGAGGAGCGAAAGCGUGGGGAGCGAACAGGAUUAGAAACC
rnacentral:rRNA from 1 species